rnacentral:rRNA from 1 species
CGCCUGGGGAGUACGGUCGCAAGAUUAAAACUCAAAGGAAUUGACGGGGACCCGCACAANCGGUGGAUGAUGUGGAUUAAUUCGAUGCAACGCGAAAAACCUUACCUACCCUUGACAUGUACGGAAUCCUGCCGAGAGGUGGGAGUGCCCGAAAGGGAGCCGUAACACAGGUGCUGCAUGGCUGUCGUCAGCUCGUGUCGUGAGAUGUUGGGUUAAGUCCCGCAACGAGCGCAACCCUUGUCCCUAGUUGUCUACGCAAGAGCACUCCCAGGGAGACUGCCGGUGACAAACCGGAGGAAGGUGGGGAUGACGUCAAGUCCUCAUGGCCCUUAUGGGUAGGGCUUCACACGUCAUACAAUGGUCGGAACAGAGGGUUGCCAAGCCGCCGAGGUGGAGCCAAUCCCAGAAAACCGAUCGUAGUCCGGAUCGCAGUCUGCAACUCGAGCUGCGUGAAGUCUGGAAUCGCUAGUAAUCGCGGAUCAGCAUG